CUCCCUAGCUGACUUGCUCCCUCCCGGGCUGCGGCUGCUGCAAAAGCCAGCAGCGGCAGCGGGAGCUGUCCGGAGGCCGGCGUCGAGCCAAUGGGGCCCCCCCCCGAGUGCUGCAGCAGCUGGUUGAGGAG
rnacentral:sRNA from 1 species